rnacentral:rRNA from 1 species
GACGAACGCUGGCGGCGUGCUUAACACAUGCAAGUCGAGCGGUAAGGCCCUUUCGGGGGUACGACGAGCGGCGAACGGGUGAGUAACACGUGGGUGACCUCGCCCUCAGCUCUGGGACAAGCCGUCGGGAAACCGGGUACUAAUACUGGAUAUGACUCCAUGACGCAUGUUGGUGGGGUGGAAAGCCUUGUGCGGCUGAGGAUGGGCCCGCGGCCUAUCAGCUUGUUGGGUGGGGUGAGGCCCUACCAAGGCGACGACGGGUAGCCGGCCUGAGAGGGC